GAUGAACGCUAGCGGGAGGCCUAACACAUGCAAGCCGAGCGGUAGAGUUUCUUCGGAAACUUGAGAGCGGCGCACGGGUGCGUAACACGUGUGCAACCUACCUUUAUCUGGGGGAUAGCCUUUCGAAAGGAAGAUUAAUACCCCAUAAUAUAAUGAUUGGCAUCAAUUAUUAUUGAAAACUCCGGUGGAUAGAGAUGGGCACGCGCAAGAUUAGAUAGUUGGUGAGGUAACGGCUCACCAAGUCAAUGAUCUUUAGGGGUCCUGAGAGGGAGAUCCCCCACACUGGUACUGAGACACGGACCAGACUCCUACGGGAGGCAGCAGUGAGGAAUAUUGGACAAUGGGUGAGAGCCUGAUCCAGCCAUCCCGCGUGAAGGAUGACGGUCCUAUGGAUUGUAAACUUCUUUUGUACAGGGAUAAACCUACCCUCGUGAGGGUAGCUGAAGGUACUGUACGAAUAAGCACCGGCUAACUCCGU
rnacentral:rRNA from 1 species